GGCUGAAACCCGCCUCCCAUGAAGUUGGAUUCGCUAGUAAUCGCGCAUCAGCCAUGGCGCGGUGAAUACGUUCCCGGGCCCUUGUACACACCGCCCGUCAAGCCAUGGGAGCCGGGGGUGCCUGAAGUUCGUGACCGCAAGGAGCGACCUAGGGCAAAACUGGUGACUGGGGCUAAGUCGUAACAAGGUAAC
rnacentral:rRNA from 1 species